CAGCCGCGGGAAUACGAGGGGGGCAAGCGUUGUUCGGAAUUAUUGGGCGUAAAGGGUGCGUAGGCGGUUUCGUAAGUCUGAUGUGAAAUCUAUGGGCUCAACCCAUAGUCUGCAUCGGAAACUGCGAGGCUUGAGAGUGGGAGAGGUGAGUGGAAUUUCCGGUGUAGCGGUGAAAUGCGUAGAUACCGGAAGGAACACCUGUGGCGAAAGCGGCUCACUGGACCAUUUCUGACGCUGAUGCACGAAAGCUAGGGGAGCAAACAGGAUUAGAGACCCCUGUAGUCCCUGUCUCUUAUACACA
rnacentral:rRNA from 1 species